rnacentral:rRNA from 1 species
CAGUCGCCACGGUAAUACGAAGGGGGCUAGCGUUGCUCGGAAUGACUGGGCGUAAAGGGCGCGUAGGCGGAUUGUUUAGUUAGGCGUGAAAUUCCUGGGCUUAACCUUGGGACUGCGCUUAAUACAGGCAGUCUAGAGUGAGGAAGAGGGUUGUGGAAUUCCCAGUGUAGAGGUGAAAUUCGUAGAUAUUGGGAAGAACACCGGUGGCGAAGGCGGCAACCUGGUCCUUGACUGACGCUGAGGCGCGAAAGCGUGGGGAGCAAACAGGAUUAGAUACCCCAGUAGUCCCUGUCUCUUAUAC